rnacentral:rRNA from 1 species
UACGUAGGGAGCAAGCGUUGUCCGGAAUCAUUGGGCGUAAAGCGCGCGUAGGUGGCUUCAUAAGUCCGCUGUGAAAGUCAAAGGCUCAACCUUUGAAAGCCGGUGGAUACUGUGAAGCUAGAGUACGGAAGAGGCGAGUGGAAUUCCUGGUGUAGCGGUGGAAUGCGCAGAUAUCAGGAGGAACACCAAUAGUGAAGGCAGCUCGCUGGGACGUUACUGACACUGAGGCGCGAAAGCGUGGGGAGCGAACAGG